GCCCUCUUAGCUCAGUGGUAGAGCGCGUCACUCGUAUUUCGCUUAUGCAAGCGUUGCGCGACCAUGAUGAGGUCGGUUGUUCAAUCCAGCCAGCGGGCA